GUUACGGUACACAAGUGGUCAAAGUGGUUGGCUUUAGGAGAGCUUUUCCAAGGUAAAACGAGGAGGGCACGAUCAUCGCCAAUGCCCUCAGGGCUUCGUGCGUUCAAACCGCACCCGUAGCA
rnacentral:tRNA from 1 species